CAGCCGUAAACUAUGCGCGUUAGGUGUACUGGUGACCACGAGUCACCGGGGUGCCGAAGGGAAACCGUGAAACGUGCCGCCUGGGAAGUACGGUCGCAAGGCUGAAACUUAAAGGAAUUGGCGGGGGAUCACCACAACGGGUGGAGCCUGCGGUUUAAUUGGACUCAACGCCGGAAAUCUCACCGGAUAGGACAGACAUAUGAUAGUCGGGCUGAAGACUCUACUUGAUGAUCUGAGAGGAGGUGCAUGGCGUCAGUG
rnacentral:rRNA from 1 species